CCAUGAUGGAAAUGUGUCAGAACACACCGUGCAUUGGAGUUUGUGGCGUAUGGGACUCUUUAGCCGCAGACCUGUCAGAGUGCCCAUGAUGACCCCUGUCCACCGGUAAAAGCACUUUCAUUGGGGAUGUGAGUGUCAGAACUGGACAAUGAAGCAAUAGAAGAAGGUUGUCUAGUCUGAAUCACAUUUUCUUUCAUCGCAGCUGUUUUGGCAGCACAAGGGGACCUACACAAUAUUAAGCAGGUAGGUUUUAAUAUUGUGGCUGAUCGGUAUAACAGUAUAAAUGUGUAAAAUUUAACACUGUCUGGGUUAGUUACUAAAUUGAGAAUUCUCUCUUCUAUAUUUUUAUUCGAGAUCCACAAAGAAACCUUCACCUCUUCUGCACCAGGUGUUACCCUUAUGAUUUCUAAUUGGACCAAAUCCGCAUUGUCUAUUUUUUGUAUCUGUUUUUUGUUUUGUGAUGUGCCUAAACUUUGUGUCUCAAAUUCUUUUAGUUGGUACAUGGACGUUACGACUCCCCUUCCUUCUUCCAGCUCAGGCCAGAUUCUGGUGUAUUUUUAUGUUCAUCACCACACAAGCUGAUAUCUACUACUACGUUGGCUAGAUGGAUUUGAAGGUUUUUGGUCCCCGGGGGCGUUGAUAUGUCCUUUC